rnacentral:rRNA from 1 species
UUUUGUUGGAGAGUUUGAUCCUGGCUCAGGACGAACGCUGGCGGCGUGCUUAACACAUGCAAGUCGAG